AAAACGCAGCAUACAGCGUUUGUUUCUAUCGGACAGAGGGUACCAAGAUAUAGUCAGUUGUGCCCUGCACGGGUAUUAACACUGCCCCAACACAUCUGUUAUGUGAACCCACAGAUACUGAUGGCCGGAGGACACAAUACUAAACUGAAUAGCACAGGAAGAUGGGAAGGAAAACAACUGAUAGGAUUUCUACGCACAAUCUUCCAGAACUUGCAUUCUACGCUUUGUAGUGUCGCUUUCAAGUUUUAUAGAGACUUGGCCAGGGCGGCGCGCUCCGCGGAGGCGAGGUAUUUCUGGCGGUGGAAGCGUUUCUCCAGCUCACAGAUCUGUACCCGGGAGAAGGAAGUGCGCGG